rnacentral:rRNA from 1 species
GACGAACGCUGGCGGCGUGCCUAAUACAUGCCAGUCGAACGCUGAAGGAGGAGCUUGCUUCUCUGGAUGAGUUGCGAACGGGUGAGUAACGCGUAGGUAACCUGCCUGGUAGCGGGGGAUAACUAUUGGAAACGAUAGCUAAUACCGCAUAAGAGUAGAUGUUGCAUGACAUUUGCUUAAAAGGUGCAAUUGCAUCACUACCAGAUGGACCUGCGUUGUAUUAGCUAGUUGGUGAGGUAACGGCUCACCAAGGCAACGAUACAUAGCCGACCUGAGAGGGUGAUCGGCCACACUGGGACUGAGACACGGCCCAGACUCCUACGGGAGGCAGCAGUAGGGAAUCUUCGGCAAUGGACGGAAGUCUGACCGAGCAACGCCGCGUGAGUGAAGAAGGUUUUCGGAUCGUAAAGCUCUGUUGUAAGAGAAGAACGAGUGUGAGAGUGGAAAGUUCACACUGUGACGGUAUCUUACCAGAAAGGGACGGCUAACUACGUG